AUUGAACGCUGGCGGCAUGCUUUACACAUGCAAGUCGAACGGUAACAGGGAGCUUGCUCCGCUGACGAGUGGCGAACGGGUGAGUAAUAUAUCGGAACGUACCCAAGAGUGGGGGAUAACGUAGCGAAAGUUACGCUAAUACCGCAUACGAUCCAAGGAUGAAAGCAGGGGAUCUUCGGACCUCGUGCUCCUGGAGCGGCCGAUAUCUGAUUAGCUAGUUGGUGAGGUAAAGGCUCACCAAGGCGACGAUCAGUAGCUGGUCUGAGAGGACGACCAGCCACACUGGAACUGAGACACGGUCCAGACUCCUACGGGAGGCAGCAGUGGGGAAUUUUGGGCAAUGGGCGCAAGCCUGAUCCAGCAAUGCCGCGUGAGUGAAGAAGGCCUUCGGGUUGUAAAGCUCUUUUGUCAGGGAAGAAACGGGAGUGGCUAAUAUCCAUUCUUAAUGACGGUACCUGAAGAAUAAGCACCGGCUAACUACGUGCCAGCAGCCGCGGUAAUAC
rnacentral:rRNA from 1 species